UUGUGUGUUUAGACCAUUAUUUACUUUACUUGUUGGUUGUGGAUAAUAUUGUUUGUUUUUUAUUGCAGAUGAAUAAUUUAGCAUUUCUUAUCAUGCUUGUCUUCGGACUCGUUGUCCUCACAGAAAGCGCAGGAUAUGACGAAGGUUUUCGACGUCUAGGUGAAACGGAAAUGUUGCAAAAUGGCGUUCAAGAUCUGCCUAAAUUAAAAGGAGAUUUCAUUGGAGGAAAAGCAGGUUAGCAAACCUAGAGAUUUCCCUCAUCAUUGCAACAUACUUAAUUUGCAAUAAAAUUUAUUAAAAUUUAUUCAUUUAAUGAUCGUGAAUUAACACAUGCGUGUGAUUUUCUAUGUCGCGUAAAAGUGGUGUUCGAGCAUUAUAUUGGGUUCGGUGUUAUUUUGCGCGAAAGGUAUUUAUGAAACCAGCGGUAUCUAUAAACUCAUGUAACUUAUUCUUUCUAUUUGAACCAGAUGCAGUCCAAUAAUUUGUCGUAGCCUAAUAAAAAUCUUCAAUAGUAUAGGCUUUAUUGGACUGCAUCUGCAAACGCACACAACGUUAAAUACACAAAGCGCACA